AUACACACCUUUUCGAGAAAAGGUGCGUAUAAUUACACAUCUUUUGCAAUGUGGAAGCCAAGGUGUGUAAUUAUACGCACCUUGUAUACACAAUUAUACACCUUAGGUGUGUACGAUUACACACAUUUGGGUGUGUAAAAUUACAUAUAUUAAUUC